rnacentral:rRNA from 1 species
GAAUCUUAGACAAUGGGGGAAACCCUGAUCUAGCCAUGCCGCGUGAGUGACUAAGGCCCUAGGGUCGUAAAGCUCUUUCGCCGGGGAAGAUACUGACGGUACCCGGUAUAGAAGUCCCGGAUAACUCCGUGCCAGCAGCCGCGGCAAUACGGAGGGGACUAGCGUUGUUCGGAAUUACUGGGCGUAAAGCGCGCGUAGGCGGAUUAGUCAGUCAGAGGUGAAAUCCCAGGGCUCAACCCUGGAACUGCCUUUGAUACUGCUAGUCUCGAGUUCGAGAGAGGUGAGUGGAAUUCCGAGUGUAGAGGUGAAAUUCGUAGAUAUUCGGAGGAACACCGGUGGCGAAGGCGGCUCACUGGCUCGAUACUGACGCUGAGGUGCGAAAGCGUGGGGAGCAAACAGG